UGGGGAAUAUUGCACAAUGGGGGAAACCCUGAUGCAGCGACGCCGCGUGAACGAAGAAGGUAUUCGUAUCGUAAAGUUCUGUCCUAUGGGAAGAUAAUGACAGUACCAUAGAAGAAAGCUCCGGCUAAAUACGUGCCAGCAGCCGCGGUAAUACGUAUGGAGCGAGCGUUGUCCGGAAUUAUUGGGCGUAAAGGGUACGCAGGCGGUUUAAUAAGUCGAAUGUUAAAGAUCGGGGCUCAACCCCGUAAAGCAUUGGAAACUGAUAAACUUGAGUAGUGGAGAGGAAAGUGGAAUUCAUAGUGUAGUGAUGAAAUACGUAGAUAUUAGGAGGAAUACCAGUAGCGAAGGCGACUUUCUGGACACAAACUGACGCUGAGGUACGAAAGCGUGGGGAGCAAACAGG
rnacentral:rRNA from 1 species